rnacentral:rRNA from 1 species
AUUGAACGCUGGCGGCAGGCCUAACACAUGCAAGUCGAACGGUAACAGGAAGCAGCUUGCUGCUCCGCUGACGAGUGGCGGACGGGUGAGUAAUGUCUGGGAAGCUGCCUGAUGGAGGGGGAUAACUACUGGAAACGGUAGCUAAUACCGCAUAAUGUCGCAAGACCAAAGAGGGGGACCUUCGGGCCUCUUGCCAUCGGAUGUGCCCAGAUGGGAUUAGCUUGUUGGUGGGGUAACGGCUCACCAAGGCGACGAUCCCUAGCUGGUCUGAGAGGAUGACCAGCCACACUGGAACUGAGACACGGUCCAGACUCCUACGGGAGGCAUCAGUGGGGAAUAUUGCACAAUGGGCGCAAGCCUGAUGCAGCCAUGCCGCGUGUAUGAAGAAGGCCUUCGGGUUGUAAAGUACUUUCAGCGGGGAGGAAGGGAGUAAAGUUAAUACCUUUGCUCAUUGACGUUACCCGCAGAAGAAGCACCGGCUAACUCCGUG